CGGUGUUACAAGAGACUAGGUGGACAAUCUAAGGGAACUAAAUUAACAUGGAUUCCAGCACAGUGUGCUCAACAACCGGGAUCACUAGAUUGUGGCUACUACGUCAUGCGUUUUAUGUACGACAUAAUAAUGAAUCAUGGUAAUAGUCAAGAUCUUACUAAGGAUUUUUCAAGAACAUUGCCUUAUUCAGCGGAGGAGAUUAAUGAGGUGAAAGAUUUUUGGGCAGAUUACUUCAUGAACAAUGUCGAAUUUUUAGCUUAAUUUGUAAUAUGAACUUGAUCUCUAGCUAGCUACGUACCUUUGUUGUAAUAAUUUUAUGUUUGUUGUAACAUGUUGGUUGAUCGAUCUAUGACGAAUUUAAUUGCCUUUUAUUGGGAACGUUAAUUACGUUGUAAACUUUUGUGACAGGUAUUAAUUAUAAAUGUAUUCCCGGUAUUGGGAAUGAA